rnacentral:tRNA from 1 species
GGAGAGGUGGCAGAGCGGCUGAACGCGCCGGUCUCGAAAACCGGUAUACCGCAAGGUAUCGGGGGUUCGAAUCCCCCCCUCUCCG